UACGUAGGGUGCAAGCGUUAAUCGGAAUUACUGGGCGUAAAGCGUGCGCAGGCGGUUAUGCAAGACAGAUGUGAAAUCCCCGGGCUUAACCUGGGAACUGCAUUUGUGACUGCAUAGCUGGAGUACGGUAGAGGGGGAUGGAAUUCCGCGUGUAGCAGUGAAAUGCGUAGAUAUGCGGAAGAACACCGAUGGCGAAGGCAGUCCCCUGGACCUGUACUGACGCUCAUGCACGAAAGCGUGGGGAGCAAACAGG
rnacentral:rRNA from 1 species